rnacentral:rRNA from 1 species
UACGUAGGGACCAAGCGUUGUUCGGAUUUACUGGGCGUAAAGGGCGCGUAGGCGGCAAUUCAAGUCAGCUGUGAAAUCUCCGGGCUUAACUCGGAACGGUCAGCUGAUACUGCUUUGCUAGAGUGCGGAAGGGGCAAUCGGAAUUCUCGGUGUAGCGGUGAAAUGCGCAGAUAUCAGGAGGAACACCGGUGGCGAAGGCGGUUCUCUGGGCAUUACCUGACGCUGAGGAGCGAAAGUGUGGGGAGCGAACAGG